rnacentral:tRNA from 1 species
AGUCCUGAGGUGUAAUUUACAUAUAAGAUUGCAAAUCUUGAGAAGCAGGUUAAUCACUUGCCGGGGCUU